UACGUAGGGUGCAAGCGUUAAUCGGAAUUACUGGGCGUAAAGCGUGCGCAGGCGGCUUUGCAAGACAGAUGUGAAAUCCCCGGGCUUAACCUGGGAACUGCAUUUGUGACUGCAUGGCUGGAGUGCGGCAGAGGGGGAUGGAAUUCCGCGUGUAGCAGUGAAAUGCGUAGAUAUGCGGAGGAACACCAAAGGCGAAGGCAGUGUCCUGGGGAGUACCUGACGCUCAGGUGCGAAAGCCAGGGGAGCGAACGGG
rnacentral:rRNA from 1 species